GUCUACGGCCAUGCCACUCUGAACAAGCCCAAUGUCUCACCUCGGAAGCUAGGCAGGGUCGGCCUGGUUAGUACUUGGAUGGGAGACCACCUAGGAAGACCAGGUGCUGUAGGCA
rnacentral:rRNA from 1 species